GGGCAGUUAGCUCAGUGGUAGAGCGUCUGCCUUACAAGCAGGGGGUCACUGGUUCAAGUCCAGUACUGCCCA
rnacentral:tRNA from 2 species